rnacentral:rRNA from 1 species
UAAACGAGUCUCGGCAACGAAUAUCUCGGCUCUCGCAUUGAUGAAGAACAUAGUGAAAUGCGAUACUUGGUGUGAAUUGCAGAAUCCCGUGAACCAUCGAGUAUUUGAACGUAAGUUGUGCCCGAAGCCAUUAGGCCUAGGGCACGUCUGCCUGGGCGUCACAC